rnacentral:rRNA from 1 species
UACGGAGGGAGCUAGCGUUUUUCGGAUUUACUGGGCGUAAAGAGCGCGUAGGCGGUCAAUUAAGUUGAAAGUGAAAUCCCAAAGCUUAACUUUGGAACUGCUUUCAAAACUGGUUGACUAGAGUGUGAUAGGGGACAGUGGAAUUCCUAGUGUAGAGGUGAAAUUCUUAGAUAUUAGGAGGAACACCGGAGGCGAAGGCGACUGUCUGGAUCAUUACUGACGCUAAGGUGCGAAAGCGUGGGGAGCAAACAGGAUUAGAUACCCUGGUAGUCCACGCUGUAAACGAUGAGUGCUAGAUGUCGGGAUUUAUCUCGGUGUCGUAGUUAACACGUUAAGCACUCCGCCUGGGAAGUAAGGUCGCAAGAUUA